rnacentral:rRNA from 1 species
ACAAUGCGGGACUAUCAGUCUUGCAAUUGGAUUGAGAACAAUGUACAACUCUUAUCGAUAAGCCAUUGGAGGGCAAGUCUGGUGCCAGCAGCCGCGGUAAUUCCAGCUCCAAUAGCGUAUAUUAACGUUGUUGCAGUUAAAAAGCUCGUAGUUGAAGUGUGGGUGAUCGCUGUUGUGAGACUUCGGUCUCUCGACAGUAAGUCACCCCCUUCCAGUAUCCAGCAGUGGGUAUUCACUUACUUACUACUGUGUGUUGGUCGUUUACUGUGAGAAAAUUAGAGUGUUCAAAGCAGGCGUUUGCUUGAAUAGAUUAGCAUGGAAUAAUAAUUGAAGGCUUUCGUGUUCGAUUUGAUUGGUUUGUUCAUGGAAGCAAGGUUAAAAGGAACAGUUGGGGGUAUUCAUAUUCACUAGUUAGA